rnacentral:rRNA from 1 species
AACGUAGGAGACGAGCGUUAUCCGGAUUUACUGGGCGUAAAGCGCGUGCAGGCGGCACGGAAAGUUGGAUGUGAAAGCUCCCGGCUUAACUGGGAGAGGUCGUUCAAAACUACCGAGCUAGAGUAUGGGAGAGGGAAGCGGAAUUCCGGGUGUAGUGGUGAAAUGCGUAGAUAUCCGGAGGAACACCAGUGGCGAAAGCGGCUUCCUGGCCCGAGACUGACGCUCAGACGCGAAAGCUAGGGUAGCAAACGGGAUUAGAUACCCUGGUAGU